AGAGUUUGAUCCUGGCUCAGGAUGAACGCUAGCGGCAGGCUUAACGCAUGCAAGUCGAGGGGUAAGGCUCUUUCGGGAGUACACGACCGGCGCACGGGUGCGUAACGCGUAUACAAUCUGCCCAUAGCUGGGAAUAGCCCGGGGAAACUCGGAUUAAUACCCCAUAAUAUCAUUUAAUCGCAUGGUUUUAUGAUUAAAGCUCCGGCGGCUAUGGAUGAGUAUGCGUGACAUUAGCUUGUUGGUGAGGUAACGGCUCACCAAGGCAACGAUGUCUAGGGGGUCCGAGAGGAUGAUCCCCCACACUGGUACUGAGACACGGACCAGACUCCUACGGGAGGCAGCAGUGAGGAAUAUUGGGCAAUGGACGCAAGUCUGACCCAGCCAUGCCGCGUGCAGGAUGAAUGCCCUAGUGGUUGUAAACUGCUUUUGUACGGGAAGAAACCCCCUAACGUGUUAGGGGUUGACGGUACCGUACGAAUAAGCAUCGGCUAACUCCGUGCCAGCAGCCGCGGUAAUACGGAGGAUGCAAGCGUUAUCCGGAUUUAUUGGGUUUAAAGGGUGCGCAGGCGGGACUUUAAGUCAGUGGUGAAAUCUUGCGGCUUAACCGUAAAAUUGCCAUUGAAACUGAAGUUCUUGAGUUCAGUUGAGGUAGGCGGAAUGUGUUAUGUAGCGGUGAAAUGCUUAGAUAUAACACAGAACACCAAUUGCGUAGGCAGCUUACUAAACUGUUACUGACGCUGAGGCACGAAAGCGUGGGGAGCGAACAGGAUUAGAUACCCUGGUAGUCCACGCCGUAAACUAUGAUCACUCGUUGUUGGCAAUACAUCGUCAGCGACUGAGCGAAAGCAUUAAGUGAUCCACCUGGGGAGUACGAUCGCAAGGUUGAAACUCAAAGGAAUUGACGGGGGCCCGCACAAGCGGAGGAACAUGUGGUUUAAUUCGAUGAUACGCGAGGAACCUUACCUGGGCUUAAAUGCAGGGCGACGGAUACCGAAAGGUAUCUUUCUUCGGACGACUUGCAAGGUGCUGCAUGGUUGUCGUCAGCUCGUGCCGUGAGGUGUCGGGUUAAGUCCCAUAACGAGCGCAACCCCUAUCGUUAGUUGCCAGCGGAUAAUGCCGGGGACUCUAACGAAACUGCCGGUGUAAACCGUGAGGAAGGUGGGGAUGACGUCAAAUCAGCACGGCCCUUAUGUCCAGGGCUACACACGUGUUACAAUGGCCGAUACAAAGGGCAGCUACUAGGCAACUAGAUGCUAAUCUCUAAAGUCGGUCUCAGUUCGGAUCGAAGUCUGCAACUCGACUUCGUGAAGGUGGAUUCGCUAGUAAUCGCGCAUCAGCCAUGGCGCGGUGAAUACGUUCCCGGGCCUUGUACACACCGCCCGUCAAGCCAUGGAAGUUUGGGGUACCUAAAGUCCGUAACCGUAAGGAGCGGCCUAGGGUAAAACAGAUGACUGGGGCUAAGUCGAAACAAGGUA
rnacentral:rRNA from 1 species